rnacentral:rRNA from 1 species
AUUGAACGCUGGCGGAAUGCUUUACACAUGCAAGUCGAACGGCAGCGCGGGGGCAACCCUGGCGGCGAGCGGCGAACGGGUGAGUAACAUAUCGGAACGUACCCAGUCGUGGGGGAUAACUAUCCGAAAGGAUAGCUAAUACCGCAUACGACCUGAGGGUGAAAGCGGGGGGACCGUAAGGCCUCGCGCGAUUGGAGCGGCCGAUAUCGGAUUAGCUAGUUGGUGGGGUAAAGGCUCACCAAGGCGACGAUCCGUAGCUGGUCUGAGAGGACGACCAGCCACACUGGAACUGAGACACGGACCAGACUCCUACGGGAGGCAGCAGUAAGGAAUAUUGGUCAAUGGGCGCAAGCCUGAACCAGCCAUGCCGCGUGCAGGAAGACGGCCCUAUGGGUUGUAAACUGCUUUUGUCAGGGAAUAAACCUGUCUACGUGUAGACAGCUGAAGGUACCUGAAGAAUAAGCAUCGGCUAACUCCGUGCCAGCAGCCGCGGUAAU